rnacentral:rRNA from 1 species
AUGCAAGUCGAGGGGCAGCAUAAUGGUAGUAAUACUAUUGAUGGCGACCGGCGGACGGGUGCGUAACGCGUAUGCAACCUACCCUUUACUCGGGGAUAGCCUUUCGAAAGAAAGAUUAAUACCCGAUGGCAUAAUUCUUCCGCAUGGUAGAACUAUUAAAGAAUUUCGGUCAUCGAUGGGGAUGCGUUCCAUUAGGUUGUUGGCGGGGUAACGGCCCACCAAGCCUUCGAUGGAUAGGGGUUCUGAGAGGAAGGUCCCCACAUUGGAACUGAGACACGGUCCAAACUCC